rnacentral:rRNA from 1 species
AGAGUUUGAUCCUGGCUCAGGACGAACGCUGGCGGCGUGCCUAACACAUGCAAGUCGAACGGGGUCAAUAGCUUCGGUUAUUGACCUAGUGGCGGACUGGUGAGUAACGCGUGAGCAACCUGCCUUUCAGAGGGGAAUAACGCAGAGAAAUUUGCACUAAUACCGCAUAACGUGUUGAAGCUGCAUGGCUUUAACACCAAAGGAGAAAUCCGCUGAAAGAUGGGCUCGCGUCCGAUUAGACCGUUGGUGAGGUAACGGCCCACCAAAUCUACGAUCGGUAGCCGGACUGAGAGGUUGAACGGCCACAUUGGGACUGAGAUACGGCCCAGACUCCUACGGGAGGCAGCAGUGAGGGAUAUUAGGCAAUGGGGGAAACCCUGACCUAGCAACGCCGCGUGAAGGAUGAAGGUUUUCGGAUUGUAAACUUCUUUGACGAGGGACGAUAAUGACGGUACCUCGAAAACAAGCCACGGCUAACUACGUGCCAGCAGCCGCGGUAAUACGUAGGUGGCAAGCGUUGUCCGGAUUUACUGGGUGUAAAGGGCGUGUAGGCGGGUAAGCAAGUCAGAUGUGAAAUGCGGAGGCUCAACCUCCGAGCUGCAUUUGAAACUGCAGAUCUUGAGUGAUGGAGAGGUAAGCGGAAUUCCCAGUGUAGCGGUAAAAUGCGUAGAUAUUGGGAGGAACACCGGUGGCGAAGGCGGCUUACUGGACAUUAACUGACGCUGAGGCGCGAAAGUGUGGGGAGCAAACAGGAUUAGAUACCCUGGUAGUCCACACUGUAAACGAUGGAUACUAGGUGUGGGGGGGACUGACCCCUUCCGUGCCGGAGUUAACACAAUAAGUAUCCCACCUGGGGAGUACGGUCGCAAGAUUAAAACUCAAAGGAAUUGACGGGGACCCGCACAAGCAGUGGAGUAUGUGGAUUAAUUCGAUGCAACGCGAAGAACCUUACCAAGGCUUGACAUCCUACUGACGAAGUAGAGAUACAUUAGGUGCCCCUCGGGGAAAGUAGAGACAGGUGGUGCAUGGUUGUCGUCAGCUCGUGUCGUGAGAUGUUGGGUUAAGUCCCGCAAUCGAGCGCAACCCCUGCGGUUUGUUGCUACGGAAGAGCACUCUAGCCGGACUGCCGUUGACAAAACGGAGGAAGGUGGGGAUGACGUCAAAUCAUCACGCCCUUUAUGUCUUGGGCUUCACACGUACUACAAUGGCACGGAACAAAGAGCAGCGAACCUGUGAAGGCAAGCGAAUCUCGAAAAGGUGCCCCAGUUCAGAUUGCAGGCUGCAACUCGCUUGCAUGAAGCCGGAAUUGCUAGUAAUCGCGGAUCAGCAUGCCGCGGUGAAUACGUUCCCGGGUCUUGUACACACCGCCCGUCA